rnacentral:rRNA from 1 species
AUUGAACGCUGGCGGCAUGCUUUACACAUGCAAGUCGAACGGUAACAGGCCGCAAGGUGCUGACGAGUGGCGAACGGGUGCGUAAUGCAUCGGAACGUGCCCAGUCGUGGGGGAUAACUACUCGAAAGAGUAGCUAAUACCGCAUACGAGCUAUGGAUGAAAGCGGGGGACCGUAAGACCUCGCGCGAUUGUAGCGGCCGAUGUCAGAUUAGGUAGUUGGUGGGGUAAAGGCUCACCAAGCCAACGAUCUGUAGCUGGUCUGAGAGGACAACCAGCCACACUGGGACUGAGACACGGCCCAGACUCCUACGGGAGGCAGCAGUGGGGAAUUUUGGACAAUGGGCGCAAGCCUGAUCCAGCAAUGCCGCGUGCAGGAAGAAGGCCUUCGGGUUGUAAACUGCUUUUGUACGGAACGAAACGGCUCUGGUUAAUACCCGGGGCUAAUGACGGUACCGUAAGAAUAAGCACCGGCUAACUACGUG